rnacentral:misc_RNA from 1 species
GAUGAAGAACGCAGCGAAAUGCGAUACUUGGUGUGAAUUGCAGAAUCCCGUGAACCAUCGAGUCUUUGAACGCAAGUUGCGCCCGAAGCCAUUAGGCCGAGGGCACGCCUGCCUGGGCGUCACACGUCGUUGCCCCCCCAUCUACUCCUUCGGGAUUGCGGGGGGCGGAUGAUGGCCUCCCGUGCGCCUCGUCGCGCGGUUGGCAUAAAUGCCAAGUCCUCGGCGACGCACGCCACGACAAUCGGUGGUUGCGAAACCUCGGUUGCCCGUCGUGUGCGGUCGUCGCGCAUCGAGGGCUCGAAAAAAUUGCCGGGCUCCGGCUCGGCUUUCACCGCGACCCCAGGUCAGGCGGGGUUACCCGCUGAAUUUAAGCAUAUCAAUAAGCGGAGGA